AACUCUUCUGUCUUUCAGGGUAAAUGGAAAAACAAAGAGAGAGUGCUAAUUUUUUCUUCCAGAGGCAUAAAUUUUAGGACAAGACAUCUAAUGAAAGACUUGCGAACACUGAUGCCCCAUGCUAAAGCAGACACCAAAAUGGACAGAAAGGAUAAACUCUUUGUUAUUAAUGAAGUUUGUGAAAUGAAAAAUUGCAAUAAAUGCAUAUUUUUUGAAGC